UAGUUGAACAAAGGUUAGGUGCAUUGCAGCUUUAUGUUGGUAAAAAUGACAAACUCUGGAAGUGUGUGAACACUACAGGUGGUAAUCCUGACCAGUACCCAAAAGCAACAUGGGAUGAAAUACAAAAGUUCCUAGCUUCCUCUGCAGGGCGAUCAGCCAUAUUAGCUUCUCAUUGCAGAUAUGAAGCAGCAUUGAUACUGAGAAAAGCAUGCUUGAAAGACUCUGCUUUGGGUGAUGUACUCCAGAUCUUGAAUAUGGUAAUUUUUCCAAAAAAAUGGAUUAUUCAUCAUCCUUCCGGAUGGCAACCGAUUGCCAUUACCCUCCAUGACUAAAACAGAGGCAGAUACCACGCUAGGUGGCCCUAUGAAAUUGAUGGUCACAAAUGCCAGGUACAUAAUAUAUUUGAUCUGAGUGAGUAUUGCAGUUGAGCAGGUUCUGGGGAUGUGGAGGCCAAUUGAAAGAACUACUAUGGAUGAGUAUCUUAAAAGAUACUUUGAUGAUUGAAUCAAGUAGGCUUAGGUUUUAUGUCUUAUUUUAUUCUAUAUUUUGUUGAGCUCUAGUGAGCGUCUAAAGGGAGAAGGAUGUUUAGGGUAUGGUGCAUGUUAUGGACAGUAUGAAAUUCUGUAAAGUUGCAGAUUUGCGAUUAUAGCUUCUGUGCCAUGGGUGAAUGUUGAAGAGGUGGUGCUCAUACCUGAAUUUUCAGGGCUUUUUUUCAUUACAAACUAUCUACUAGAUAAGAUAGAUAGUCAAUGGUGAAUAUCCCCGAAAGGUUUGGUGACAGCCUUUACUUUCGAGGUACAAUGUGUUGUGCAGGAGGCACUGUUGGGGAAGCAAGUUUUUGGGUUUCGGUAAAUCAAUAGUCAGUCUGCAACAAGUUGCAAUUGUAGUGUAGUUUUAAUAUUUUUGGAGUACGGCCAGCACUAUUAAUGUUCUUCAUGUGAGAUGGCCUGUUGAAGAGCAAGUAUGGGAGUAAUUCUGAAGUGAUGAUUACAAGUAGGGAUUUUAGUACCGUACUUCAUAGAUGAGUGGUGGAGCAUAGAAA
rnacentral:misc_RNA from 1 species